rnacentral:rRNA from 1 species
UACGUAGGCAGCGAGCGUUGUUCGGAAUUACUGGGCGUAAAGAGUGUGUAGGCGGUGUUCCCAGUCUGUUGUGAAAUCUCCCGGCUUAACUGGGAGGGUGCAGCGGAAACUAGAAUGCUAGAGGGUGGGAGAGGUAAGCGGAAUUCCUGGUGUAGCGGUGAGAUGCGUAGAUAUCAGGAGGAACACCUGUGGUGUAGACAGCUUACUGGACCACUUCUGACGCUGAGACACGAAAGCGUGGGGAGCAAACAGG